rfam:Myotis brandtii contig163035, whole genome shotgun sequence.
GAGAUGCCCCUAUGGAGCAGGACUUACUUCAGUGGGACUAUGGUACUCUCUGAGUCUGCCCCUUGAAUGUGUCACU